rnacentral:snoRNA from 1 species
AUCUGAUGAUGAGGACAACUAGCACACGUUCUCUUAAACCUCUCCCAGUAGUCAUAUAAGCUCUCACCAUGUUGCUUCCUAAUUCCAGAGAUGUCAUUUGUGAUUGU